AUUGAAGUGGCCGAGCAUAUAGGCAACGGUCUGUAAAACCGUAAACGGAACCUAUCCCUUUAAUA
rnacentral:tRNA from 1 species